GCGGGAGUAGCUCAGCUGGUAGAGCAUUGGCCUUCCAAGCCAUGCGUCGCGGGUUCGAAUCCCGUCUCCCGCU
rnacentral:tRNA from 1 species